CCAGUAGCGGCGAGCGAACGGGGAGCAGCCCAGAGCCUGAAUCAGUGUGUGUGUUAGUGGAAGCGUCUGGAAAGGCGUGCGAUACAGGGUGACAGCCCCGUACACAAAAAUGCACAUACUGUGAGCUCGAUGAGUAGGGCGGGACACGUGGUAUCCUGUCUGAAUAUGGGGGGACCAUCCUCCAAGGCUAAAUACUCCUGACUGACCGAUAGUGAACCAGUACCGUGAGGGAAAGGCGAAAAGAACCCCGGCGAGGGGAGUGAAAAAGAACCUGAAACCGUGUACGUACAAGCAGUGGGAGCACGCUUAGGCGUGUGACUGCGUACCUUUUGUAUAAUGGGUCAGCGACUUAUAUUCUGUAGCAAGGUUAACCGAAUAGGGGAGCCGAAGGGAAACCGAGUCUUAACUGGGCGUUAAGUUGCAGGGUAUAGACCCGAAACCCGGUGAUCUAGCCAUGGGCAGGUUGAAGGUUGGGUAACACUAACUGGAGGACCGAACCGACUAAUGUUGAAAAAUUAGCGGAUGACUUGUGGCUGGGGGUGAAAGGCCAAUCAAACCGGGAGAUAGCUGGUUCUCCCCGAAAGCUAUUUAGGUAGCGCCUCGUGAAUUCAUCUCCGGGGGUAGAGCACUGUUUCGGCAAGGGGGUCAUCCCGACUUACCAACCCGAUGCAAACUGCGAAUACCGGAGAAUGUUAUCACGGGAGACACACGGCGGGUGCUAACGUCCGUCGUGAAGAGGGAAACAACCCAGACCGCCAGCUAAGGUCCCAAAGUCAUGGUUAAGUGGGAAACGAUGUGGGAAGGCCCAGACAGCCAGGAUGUUGGCUUAGAAGCAGCCAUCAUUUAAAGAAAGCGUAAUAGCUCACUGGUCGAGUCGGCCUGCGCGGAAGAUGUAACGGGGCUAAACCAUGCACCGAAGCUGCGGCAGCGACGCUUAUGCGUUGUUGGGUAGGGGAGCGUUCUGUAAGCCUGUGAAGGUGUGCUGUGAGGUAUGCUGGAGGUAUCAGAAGUGCGAAUGCUGACAUAAGUAACGAUAAAGCGGGUGAAAAGCCCGCUCGCCGGAAGACCAAGGGUUCCUGUCCAACGUUAAUCGGGGCAGGGUGAGUCGACCCCUAAGGCGAGGCCGAAAGGCGUAGUCGAUGGGAAACAGGUUAAUAUUCCUGUACUUGGUGUUACUGCGAAGGGGGGACGGAGAAGGCUAUGUUGGCCGGGCGACGGUUGUCCCGGUUUAAGCGUGUAGGCUGGUUUUCCAGGCAAAUCCGGAAAAUCAAGGCCGAGGCGUGAUGACGAGGCACUACGGUGCUGAAGCAACAAAUGCCCUGCUUCCAGGAAAAGCCUCUAAGCAUCAGGUAACAUCAAAUCGUACCCCAAACCGACACAGGUGGUCAGGUAGAGAAUACCAAGGCGCUUGAGAGAACUCGGGUGAAGGAACUAGGCAAAAUGGUGCCGUAACUUCGGGAGAAGGCACGCUGAUACGUAGGUGAAGCGACUUGCUCGUGGAGCUGAAAUCAGUCGAAGAUACCAGCUGGCUGCAACUGUUUAUUAAAAACACAGCACUGUGCAAACACGAAAGUGGACGUAUACGGUGUGACGCCUGCCCGGUGCCGGAAGGUUAAUUGAUGGGGUUAGCGCAAGCGAAGCUCUUGAUCGAAGCCCCGGUAAACGGCGGCCGUAACUAUAACGGUCCUAAGGUAGCGAAAUUCCUUGUCGGGUAAGUUCCGACCUGCACGAAUGGCGUAAUGAUGGCCAGGCUGUCUCCACCCGAGACUCAGUGAAAUUGAACUCGCUGUGAAGAUGCAGUGUACCCGCGGCAAGACGGAAAGACCCCGUGAACCUUUACUAUAGCUUGACACUGAACAUUGAGCCUUGAUGUGUAGGAUAGGUGGGAGGCUUUGAAGUGUGGACGCCAGUCUGCAUGGAGCCGACCUUGAAAUACCACCCUUUAAUGUUUGAUGUUCUAACGUGGACCCGUGAUCCGGGUUGCGGACAGUGUCUGGUGGGUAGUUUGACUGGGGCGGUCUCCUCCUAAAGAGUAACGGAGGAGCACGAAGGUUGGCUAAUCCUGGUCGGACAUCAGGAGGUUAGUGCAAUGGCAUAAGCCAGCUUGACUGCGAGCGUGACGGCGCGAGCAGGUGCGAAAGCAGGUCAUAGUGAUCCGGUGGUUCUGAAUGGAAGGGCCAUCGCUCAACGGAUAAAAGGUACUCCGGGGAUAACAGGCUGAUACCGCCCAAGAGUUCAUAUCGACGGCGGUGUUUGGCACCUCGAUGUCGGCUCAUCACAUCCUGGGGCUGAAGUAGGUCCCAAGGGUAUGGCUGUUCGCCAUUUAAAGUGGUACGCGAGCUGGGUUUAGAACGUCGUGAGACAGUUCGGUCCCUAUCUGCCGUGGGCGCUGGAGAACUGAGGGGGGCUGCUCCUAGUACGAGAGGACCGGAGUGGACGCAUCACUGGUGUUCGGGUUGUCAUGCCAAUGGCACUGCCCGGUAGCUAAAUGCGGAAGAGAUAAGUGCUGAAAGCAUCUAAGCACGAAACUUGCCCCGAGAUGAGUUCUCCCUGACCCUUUAAGGGUCCUGAAGGAACGUUGAAGACGACGACGUUGAUAGGCCGGGUGUGUAAGCGCAGCGAUGCGUUGAGCUAACCGGUACUAAUGAACCGUGAGGCUUAACCUUACAACGCCGAAG
rnacentral:rRNA from 1 species